rnacentral:lncRNA from 1 species
ACUGGCCCGACCGUUCCGACACCGAGGUGCCUCCUCUGGACCUGGGCUGGACGGACACUGGUUUCUACCGCGGCGUGAGCCGGGUCACGCUCUUCACCCACCCGCCCAAGGACGAGAAGGCGCCGCACCUCAAGCAGGUGGUCAGGCAGAUGAUCCAACAGGCCCAGAAGGCAGAAAGGGCAUCUUUAGGGACCCAAAAAUGAUCUCCUGACCUAUGCUACGCUAACAAAGAAGACCAGGGGAAGUUGCUGAUGCAUGGGCUGCUCAGGUCAUCGUAACUGCCCCGGAGUGGACUUACAGCAAGACCAUGUGUAGACUGGGAAACUCUUGGUUCUUAUUUGCAAAGCCAGAGUAAGGGGACCAAUCUGGAUAGGCUGGCAACUUGGAAGGAUUGUGCAUCCGUUUGACCACUGGACAAAUAUUUAGAGGUUUACUGCAUGUGCUAAGCAUACUUUAGUGGAAAGCAGAUACCUAAAACACACCUCUGCUCUUAAAUAGCC